GAUGAACGCUGGCGGCGUGCCUAAUACAUGCAAGUCGAGCGAACAGACGAGGAGCUUGCUCCUCUGACGUUAGCGGCGGACGGGUGAGUAACACGUGGAUAACCUACCUAUAAGACUGGGAUAACUUCGGGAAAUCGGAGCUAAUACCGGAUAAUAUAUUGAACCGCAUGGUUCAAUAGUGAAAGACGGUUUUGCUGUCACUUAUAGAUGGAUCCGCGCCGCAUUAGCUAGUUGGUAAGGUAACGGCUUACCAAGGCAACGAUGCGUAGCCGACCUGAGAGGGUGAUCGGCCACACUGGAACUGAGACACGGUCCAGACUCCUACGGGAGGCAGCAGUAGGGAAUCUUCCGCAAUGGGCGAAAGCCUGACGGAGCAACGCCGCGUGAGUGAUGAAGGUCUUCGGAUCGUAAAACUCUGUUAUUAGGGAAGAACAAAUGUGUAAGUAACUAUGCACGUCUUGACGGUACCUAACCAGAAAGCCACGGCUAACUACGUG
rnacentral:rRNA from 1 species